UACGAAGGGGGCUAGCGUUGUUCGGAAUUACUGGGCGUAAAGGGCGCGUAGGCGGUGUGUCAAGUCAGGCGUGAAAGCCCCGGGCUCAACCUGGGAACCGCGCUUGAGACUGGCACGCUCGAGUCCGGGAGAGGAUGGUGGAAUUCCCAGUGUAGAGGUGAAAUUCGUAGAUAUUGGGAAGAACACCGAUGGCGAAGGCAGCCAUCUGGACCGGCACUGACGCUGAGGCGGCGAAAAGC
rnacentral:rRNA from 1 species